rnacentral:rRNA from 1 species
GAGAGAGAGACAUGCGCGCAUAUCAAUAAGCGGAGGAAAAGAAACUAACAAGGAUUCCCUUAGUAACGGCGAGUGAAGCGGGAAGAGCUCAAAUUUGAAAUCUUCAAGGUUUUACCUUGACGAAUUGUAGUUUAAAGAAGUGUUUUCUGCUGAAGUUUUGGUAAAAGUUCUUUGGAAUAGGACAUCAUAGAGGGUGAGAAUCCCGUAUUUGACCAUUAUUUUCAGCUUUGUGAUACACUUUCAAAGAGUCGGAUUGUUUGGGAAUGCAGUCCAAAAUGGGUGGUAAAUUUCAUCUAAAGCUAAAUAUUGGCGAGAGACCGAUAGCGAACAAGUACCGUGAGGGAAAGAUGAAAAGAACUUUGAAAAGAGAGUUAAACAGUACGUGAAAUUGUCAAAAGGGAAGCGUUUGACACCAGUGUUGUUUUCUCGAAAAUCAAUUAAAAAUGGCUCGAUUUUGUAUUGCUUGAGACCUUAAAAGCUCACUGUACAUUUUUCGUGUCUUUUUUAAUGCACUUUUCGUUUAACAAGUCAACAUCAGUUUCUUUUGUUGUAAAAGGGUCAUUGGAAGGUGGCUUUCUUUUCGGAGAAAGUGUUUAUAGCCUUUGGCCUCUGCAAUCGGAGAGACUUGAGGUCUGCAGCGUAGACUCUUCGGGGUUAGGAUACAUUUGUGCUAAGUUAUAGCUUUUUAUAGACAACUUGUUGACUAUAAUUAGUCUUGUAGCUUACUCGCUUAUGCUAUUUUACCUACGCUUAGGAUGUUGAAGUCAUCGUAUCGCGC